CCUACGGGAGGCAGCAGUGAGGAAUAUUGGUCAAUGGGCGCGUGCCUGAACCAGCCAAGUCGCGUGAGGGAAGACGGUCCUAUGGAUUGUAAACCUCUUUUGUCGGGGAGCAAAAGACGCCACGCGUGGCGUUCCGCGAGUACCCGAAGAAAAAGCAUCGGCUAACUCCGUGCCAGCAGCCGCGGUAAUACGGAGGAUGCGAGCGUUAUCCGGAUUUAUUGGGUUUAAAGGGUGCGCAGGCGGAAGAUCAAGUCAGCGGUAAAAUUGAGGGGCUCAACCUCUUCGAGCCGUUGAAACUGGUUUUCUUGAGUGAGUGAGAAGUAUGCGGAAUGCGUGGUGUAGCGGUGAAAUGCAUAGAUAGCACGCAGAACUCCGAUUGCGAAGGCAGCAUACCGGCGCUCAACUGACGCUCAUGCACGAAAGUGUGGGUAUCGAACAGGAUUAGAUACCCCAGUAGUC
rnacentral:rRNA from 1 species